rnacentral:rRNA from 1 species
GACGAACGCUGGCGGCGUGCUUAAUACAUGCAAGUCAACUGAACUUGAAGUAGCAAUAUUUCAAGGGAGGUGGCGCACGGGUGAGUAACACGUAGGUAAUCUGCCUUUAGGUCUGACAUAAUUCCGCGAAAGCGGGACUAAUUUCAGAUGAUGCAGCGGCUCGACAUCGAGACAGUUGUUAAAUCUUCGGAGCCUAAAGAUGAGCCUGCGUCUGAUUAGGUAGUUGGCGGAGUAAAAGCCCACCAAGCCUGCGAUCAGUAGCUGGUCUGAGAGGAUGAUCAGCCACACUGGAACUGAGACACGGUCCAGACUCCUACGGGAGGCAGCAGUAAGGAAUAUUGCGCAAUGGAGGCAACUCUGACGCAGCCAUGCCGCGUGCAGGAAGAAGGCGCUACGCGUUGUAAACUGCUUUUAUCCGGGAAGAACCCCAGGACGUGUCCUGGGUUGACGGUACCGGAGGAAUAAGCACCGGCUAACUUCG